rnacentral:miRNA from 1 species
CGCCCCCUAUACGUCAUCAUUGAGUAAACUUUGACCCGGAACCUCACAGUCAGCAGACACUUCCUGGGAGGGAGGGUCUGCUGCUGAUUGGGUGGAAUGUGUCUGCUGGCUGUGAGUUUCCGGGUCAAAGUUUACUCAAUGAUGACGUAUAGGGGGCG